GUGGGGGGCGUGCUAUACAUGCAAGUCGAACGCUUUGUGGUUCAACUGAUUUGAAGAGCUUGCUCAGAUAUGACGAUGGACAUUGCAAAGAGUGGCGAACGGGUGAGUAACACGUGGGAAACCUACCUCUUAGCAGGGGAUAACAUUUGGAAACAGAUGCUAAUACCGUAUAACAAUAGCAACCGCAUGGUUGCUACUUAAAAGAUGGUUCUGCUAUCACUAAGAGAUGGUCCCGCGGUGCAUUAGUUAGUUGGUGAGGUAAUGGCUCACCAAGACGAUGAUGCAUAGCCGAGUUGAGAGACUGAUCGGCCACAAUGGGACUGAGACACGGCCCAUACUCCUACGGGAGGCAGCAGUAGGGAAUCUUCCACAAUGGGCGAAAGCCUGAUGGAGCAACGCCGCGUGUGUGAUGAAGGGUUUCGGCUCGUAAAACACUGUUGUAAGAGAAGAAUGACAUUGAGAGUAACUGUUCAAUGUGUGACGGUAUCUUACCAGAAAGGAACGGCUAAAUACGUGCCAGCAGCCGCGGUAAUACGUAUGUUCCAAGCGUUAUCCGGAUUUAUUGGGCGUAAAGCGAGCGCAGACGGUUAUUUAAGUCUGAAGUGAAAGCCCUCAGCUCAACUGAGGAAUUGCUUUGGAAACUGGAUGACUUGAGUGCAGUAGAGGAAAGUGGAACUCCAUGUGUAGCGGUGAAAUGCGUAGAUAUAUGGAAGAACACCAGUGGCGAAGGCGGCUUUCUGGACUGUAACUGACGUUGAGGCUCGAAAGUGUGGGUAGCAAACAGGAUUAGAUACCCUGGUAGUCCACACCGCAAACGAUGAGUGCUUAGUGUUUGAUGGUUUCCGCUCUUAAGUGCCGCAGCUAACGCAUUAAGCACUCCGCCUGGGGAGUACGACCGCGAGGUUGAAACUCAAACUGAAAUUGACGGGGACCCGCACAAGCGGUGGCAGCAUGAUGCUUUAAUUCGAAGCGAACGCGAAGAACCUUACCAGGUCUUGGACAUCCCAUGACACUUCCAGAGAUGGAGCGAUACCGUCGGCGACUAGAUGACAGCUGCUGCAUGGCAUGUCGUCCAGCUACGAGCUCGUGUACUAUGCUAGGCGUGAGUCUCUGCUACGAAGCGCCACCCUUACUACCUAGCUGGCCAUGCAGUUCAGUUGGCACUCUAACGUGAACCUGACCGGUGCGACUAUAGACCGUGGU
rnacentral:rRNA from 1 species